rnacentral:rRNA from 1 species
AUUGAACGCUGGCGGCAUGCCUUACACAUGCAAGUCGAACGGCAGCGGACCUUCGGGUGCCGGCGAGUGGCGAACGGGUGAGUAAUAUAUCGGAACGUACCUUUCAGUGGGGGAUAACGUAGCGAAAGUUACGCUAAUACCGCAUAUUCUGUGAGCAGGAAAGCAGGGGAUCGCAAGACCUUGCGCUGAUUGAGCGGCCGAUAUCAGAUUAGCUAGUUGGUGAGGUAAGGCUCACCAAGGCGACGAUCUGUAGUGGGUCUGAGAGGAUGAUCCGCCACACUGGAACUGAGACACGGUCCAGACUCCUACGGGAGGCAGCAGUGGGGAAUUUUGGACAAUGGGCGCAAGCCUGAUCCAGCCAUGCCGCGUGAGUGAAGAAGGCCUGG